rnacentral:lncRNA from 1 species
ACCUAAUGCAAAUUUUGGUUGGAUAAUACAAAAAUUGGAAUAAUAACUAGAGGUUGGGGCAGGGUUACUUUCCUCCAAAACGUGUACUUUACCAGCUUUAUUUAAAAUUGUUACCAGAGAAGUACCAGGCGGGAAACGAAUUCUGAUAAUAAAUAUUAAUGCCCAGCAAAGUGCUUUUAAAAGAGCCAUAAACCAUUAAAUUUAAAAAUUUUAUUAAAGAUUAAGUAACGUUUCGUCUUAACUCAAGACAUCUUCAGACUAUAUUAAAUUACAAGCUGUAAGAGUAAUUAAGCAUAAAGUAAAGCUAUUAUAGCAAUAUUAAAUUACAAGCGAAUACGAGGUACACAAAACGUAAGGAUAAGAAUGGAUAAUGAAGGGAAGUGACGGACAAAAAUGAGAACAACCAAAUUAGACAACACAAACAGACAAAACAUAAAAAAAAAGAGAUCAGAAUACGUGAAGAGGGAUUGAACUGCCUUGAACGUUGAGAGAGGGUUUCAUUUUAGAGAUAAAAAAGCUUUCAUGAAUAAGGAGUUCUUGUUCAUCUGAACAAGAGGAGAGGAUUUCGAAGUCGUCAAUAGAAGCAGCGUGGCCUGUGGAUGUGAGAUGUGAGAAAAUGCUGGACUGGGGAGGAUUUUUACAUUGUUUGCCAGUGAUAGGAGUGAUACCCAGAUGUUCCGAAACUCGGGUGUGUAGAUGGCGCGUGGUUUGACCCACAUACGAUGCGGAACAGCAUCGACACGUAAAAGAGUACACUACACCCGACUUCAGUGCUUUGGGUAUUUUGUCCUUAAAAGAGAAAAAGGUUGAGAGCCGUUUAGUUGAUCGAAAGACAC